AUCAUCACAUUUCACAGGCCACUGAGCAUGAGCAAACGUCACUUGCGCUUCGGGAACGAAGAAUCCGCGGCUUGUCGAAGCGCGAUUCUUUGUAAUAUACUGCCUAGAGUUUUUGUUUUAGCUGCCUGGGAGGUUAGACAAAUUUCUUAGGGGUCCACCAAUAAUGACAAAAUUGCUGCGAAAGAGGGAAGAGGAUUGCAGUAGAACUUAAUCGACAGCAGCUUCCCGUUCCAUGAUUCCACCGGGUAACACAUUGCCAAGGAACGUAUGAUAUUCCGACAAAAUGACGACUGUCUUACCGGCAUGGAAGUUAGAACUCAUAGAAAAGAAAAAGAGGAAGGAACAGGACCAUCGACAGAAGGUCGAGCAAGAGAAAUCCCGCAAAGUAUCUAUUCCAGAAUGGAAGCGGUCGCUGUUAGAGAAGAGGAAAGAGGCUGCGAGCGAUUCGCCGGAAACCAAGGAACACGGUAUGUCUGUCAACAGUGUUUUCGGACCAAGAAUUAUACGGAAGACAUCCCAAUUAAAUUUACCGGUCGCGAAUUCAAGCCAGAAACCUGCAGUUAGAGGCGAUUACGAAGAAAGCAAAACAAACAUAUUACAAGAUGUUAACACGGUUCGCGGUGGUUCUUUGUCUUCGAGCCCGGCGGAUGCGAAUAGUUGUGUUACCAAAGCUGUCGAAAUUCCGACAGAAGUUGAACACAAAUCAAACAAACUAAGCACUCGAAAAGAGAUCGAAGAUAACCGCGAAAGUUCUCGGCAAUCAGACGUCGCGGCGCUGAGAGAGGAGUCGAACGUAGCCUUGGAUAUUCAGCAGUCGGAGACAAAGCUUGACAACAAACAUAGCGCAAAGACACCAUCAGUUUUUAGCUAUCGACGAAUGUUUGAACAAUCGGAAACAGAAAGCAAGGAAACUAGUGAGCCGUGCAUCAUUAAAAACACACAAAGUAAAACUCAGGUAGAAAAUCACAAGAGCACUACAGAAAGUACAUUGCGCGCUGUGAGGAGCGAAUCAAAUCCAUCUUCUUCACAAUUGCAAAUUUCGAACAAAAGUUCUGCAGGCAAAGCGCAUUCAAUUCACUCUGAGAAAUCAACACGUUCGCACCCGGAUUCGAACCAGCAAAAUGUAUUCACUCCAAAACCUACGUUUGCUCCCAAACCGUACAAAAGUUUCGUCACUACACCCCCUUGGCUCAAAAAUACCUCACCAAAAAAUAUCACUUUCCAGAUUGGCCGCAAUUCUGUCCAAGAAGACGUUGUGGUAGCUAAUGUAAACACCGAGGUGCAGAGUGCUCCAAAGAAUUUUGACACCUCGGAAAAGAAAAGUUAUGUAAUAGAAUCUGGCGCCAAGGAAAUCAUAACAAAAACUAUUGAAAGUGACGACAAACAGAAAGUCAGUUUUAGUAAUGGCAAUGAUCCAAUACCAAGUGGUGAUGUUUUACAGAAAGAAGAAUCUGUGAAAAAAACUACAGAAGAAACAGUUCUACCAUCAGAAAAAACAGUACAGAAAUAUUCAGUUAUUAAGGAGACAGACUCUAAAGAGGAGCAGUUGACCUCAAAGUCUGACAAAGGUAGUGAGAGUCUGAAGUAUAUUGUGAUAGAUGGUAGAAACCAAGAAGAACCAACUUCUACCAUUGAGAAAAACAAAACUUCAGUUAGUGCAACUUCAGACAGUGUUUCUCAAGUACCUAAUGAAAGUACACAGCAUGAGGAAGGGGAGAACAUUCCCCAUCCAAGUUCUAUUGAAUCAUUGCGGAGUAAGUUUGGUUCCAUUGGGGGUUAUCGAAGGUGGACCUCUUCUGAAGAAAACAUUUUUCUCAAAGGGAGCCAGGCUGAGCAAAGUGAUCAGGUCGUUGUUAUACAUAGAUCUUCAGAGUUAAAGAGACCCCCUCCUCCUACAAAAAGAUGGUCAGCAGACAUUUUAAGUUUGACGUCGCACUCAACUGAUAAUAGUGAGACAUCAAAUUUGUCACCUACUAGUGAAACUAAGAACAUUCCAUCAACGGCCAACCAGCUCAAGAGACCCCCUCCUCCAGUGAAGAGAUGGACAGCAGAUGUUAUAAAUGUGAUGCCACGACAAACUGAUGACAUGUCAGAUUUGUCCCCAAGAAGUGACUCCGGUAAGAAUUCAAUGAUCUCACCAAGCAACAGCCUUAGCAGAGGAAGGUCAUCAUCUCUGUGUGACAUCAGAGAAGAGACAGGCCUAGACUACUUCCAGCACAAAUCAAAUGUUGCUCAGGGAAUAGAACACCGCGUGAACAAGCUGAUAAGAAAGAUGUCUGUCUCAGAGACCCAGCUGAGUGUUGAUGAUGAAGAGUCAGAUUCGACAAGUGAUGAUGACCCUCUUAGCGACCUAGACUUAAAACUAGCAGCAAACAAAGAGAAAGAUGUGCCUGCACCACCGCAAGAUGUCCAACCAGUGUUUGCGAGGAAGCAUAGUGUUUCAAGUGAAAUUGAACACAGGGUGACAGAACUGUUUCAUCGGCAAUUAUCUCAGCAGUCUGAUGCAGAUGCGGAUGAAUCAGAAGGAGAAAAAUCAUCAGAAAGUGAUGCAAAUAUUACUGUUGUCCAGGUAGUGGAUGAUGUUAAAGAGCCAAACCUGAAAACAGAGUCCUUGCCUGUGGUUAGUACCAAACUAGCAAUUGACUUUGAUUCUGCUCCUGUAAAAGACGAUUGUAAUGAGGAAUCUGGUCACAUUGUACCAGAGAGCAAGCCAGUAAGUGGGUCUGUUCAUAAACUGUCAGCACUGUUCGGAUCAAGUAUCUUGAAACCCAAGAAGAAAGACAAAAGUGUGAAUGAAGAAAAAACAAAAGACAAGGCCAGUAAGUCAUCUAAGUUCCAUUCUUCUGAUAGAUCAAACCAGAAGGGUUCAUCUGGAGAUGAUGGUAAAAAGUCUACUCUGUUCAGCAAGUCUCAGAAGUCAGAGGGAAAAUCUGCACAGAAGGACAAGCAACAGUCUAACACAAGCAUUUUUCCUUGGCUGAGAAAAAACGACAAGAAGGAGAGCAUAGGAGGAAAUAAAACAAAAGAACUUCUGGACAAAAAUCAAAAAAAUAGUAGUUCAAGUUCUCCUAACGAAGGUACCGACACUGUGUCAAUUGCUGCAUUUGGCUUGCAACCAGUGCACAAGCCUGUUAAAGUGGAGCAAAGAUUAUUUGGCAAUGUGAAGAUAAUAAGUAAUGCUAGUCAUGAGCAGACUCCACCAAAGGGAGUGUACCAUAAAACCAAACCAAGUGUCCAGAUUUUAGAGCCAGAAAAAGAGAAAAUACCAUCUAAGAAAGCAAAUGAGUCCAAAACAGACAAUAAAGGAACUGAAUCUCAGGUCCCAGCCAUUGUAACACAGUACUGGAAUGGAAAUGAGGAGAGUCGCAGUUCUGAAACAAGUGUGACUGAGUCAGUUCCAAUAACAUCAAUCGAUGAAGUGCCAGUAUCUGCGAUAGAUAUGCCUGAAUCUGGUGACAAUGAUGUCACUGUUUCUGUGAUUGAUGUUCCUGCCUCUCCAGAUAACCGCAGUGCAGGAAAGUUUGCAUUUUUCAAUGGCCACAAAGAAGACAUACCAAAUCCUGAUGAUGACAACGACGUGAGUGUGUCAGUUAUUGACUUGCCGUCGCCAGGCAGCGAGAAGAUAAGUGCCUUUCAAGAUGGUUACUUAGAAGCUGAUGAGUUAUCAGAUGGAAGUGAUACCGAUGAAGUUGAGGGAAGCUACAAUUUUGCCACUGGAGAAAUUACCCAUGUAGUAAAUGGUGACAUUACUCAGGAUGAUGAGGACGAUGAGGAUGAUGAUGACGAUGAAGAUGAGGAUGAUGAUUAUGACGAUGAGGAUGUACCCAUAUCAUACAUAGGAUCAGCCCCUCAAUUUCCUGUCCCAUACGUUGUCUUUGAUUCAGAGCCUGUACAGUUGAAGUCAUGUUUGAGCCCAAAGAUAGAAAGAAAGAAGAUGAACAAAGGAAAAGUUUCUUUCAAGAGCUCACAUACAGUCCAUGACUAUCCAUCAGAGGAAACUGUAACAGCUGCUUAUGAUGAGUAUCACAAAGACAACAAUGUGCAACUGAAAACCUUGCAGAAUUACCAACCAGCUGGCCUGGUCAAUAUGGAAAAGAAUCUUGCACGUGUUGGUGGACAUGAACAAAGGUCGAUAACACCAUCAGCGCCUGUUACCAAUGGUGAUAAAAACUCCCAUGAUAUGCCUGCAAGUAAGAGUCUUCCGGAAAUAAAGUAUGCAGAUGAGGGGCAGGGCUUUACAGAUGCUACAGACAAUGCAAGCGCUCUAUUGUUUUAACUCUUCAGGAUUAUGGUAAUACCGUGUUACUUUCAAAAUAUUUCCCUUGAUUUAGAGAGAAAACAAAACAAUGCUGUGACAAGGAUUUCUGCCCAAAAAAGCUUUCAAUUAACUAGUCAGGCCACACACUGUGUUUGCCUAUUUGAAUUCAAUGAAUUGAUCUUAGGUUUCAUAUCAAACUUCGCAGCCGAUUCAAAGUGGUAAAUAUCGGGAAAAUAGUUGGCAGCCCAAAUGGUGCUGUACUAGGACUGCCAUUGUAGUAACAAGGCAGUUAAAACCAACCGUUUGUCUCUUAUCAGCUUCUUCUUUACACAAAGGAACUCUUUGGUGCUCAGGUUCUUGUAGGUACUAGUAAUUGUCUUCUAACUUUAACAUUGAUAUAGCAAAAUGUACUUUGUGAACAAGUAUUUAUGAAAACCAGCCUACAACAUUGGAGUUGUAAUAAUUAAAAACAUGUUUCUACAGUUCUAGGUUUUGUUCUUUAGCAAAACAGGGGGGGGGGGCAUGCUGAUUUUAUGCAUACAUUUAUGAUUCAUAGUAAGAUACAUAGUAUUGUAUAUGCUACAGAUGAAACGGAAAGAAAAUUCAAUAGCUAAUUGUACAGUGGUGUUAUUUUUCUUUUGCAUUUAAACCAGAUCAGGGAUUAUACAUAGUUUUUGUGAAGAAGAGUGACUUUGUAAUAAUUUAUUCCAAAGUAACUACAGUUGUACAAUAAUUAUUAUUGUGCCCUACUGACACUGCAGUUAUUCUUUAAUGCUGGUCAUUGCGAUAAUCUUUUAUCAGGACACAGGGUACUUUUAUCCAGAUGGAGUACACAGGCCUGUACGCACUUGACUUAAGACAGCUCAAAUAUUAUACAAUGCAACAUUCUUUGCUGUCUCAAAAAGUGUGAUCAGGUUUAAUUAUUAUUUUGACUUGGAACUGCACUAUACAUUAAACUAAUUGAAUAUGUUGGUGCAGAAAAUUGAGCUCUUACAAUAGUCACUAAUAUUAUGUGUUUUGAGGACUUUGCAAAGGGCAGUUGAUGCCAAGCUACUGGCGGCAGAUAUAUUUUUUUCAAUAGAGUUCUUACAUAAAUUACACCAAGAGGGUGACAAUACCUUGCUUUUGAAUCACAAAGAAAUAGUGUACAUUAUUCAGGUACAUGUAUCACAAAGAAUAUCAAAUUUAGUUCCAUGUUCAAGAGCCAUGUUAAGCCAGUGUGUUACAUGUGCACUUAUCAUGUGGGUCGUCAUAGCCUAAAACAAAUGAAACAAAAUAUUUUUUUGGUGCAAAAACAAGUUUUACUUUUGAAGAUCUGUUGUUUUGCCAGGUCACCAAAUGAUUUCACAUCUCCUGAGACAAGUAAUUACUUUAAUUGAUGUGAAGUGUACUGUUCAAGUUACACAUUGGUUGAACAUCAUUGGCCACUUACACCUAGACGAAUAAUUAAUCAUCAUAAACAUUUCUGAGACCUUUAAGUUACCAACUAAAUUUAACUCCUGAACAUCCAUUGUCUAAGGGAGACCAUUUUUUGAGGAAUUGCAACUAAAUAAGGAUGUUUGAAACUUUGAAGCACUUCACGCUUUGUUCUUCACUCGUAAUAUAAUGGGUUGAAGAGAUCUCUGGAGAAAUGUUUAAUUUUAUGAUACCAUUGAGAUGUCUGUAUGAUGUAAUAAUUACUAGGGGUAGGUAGCAAUGAAAGAAUUAAUCAAUAAGGUCGAAGGAAAGAAGUGACCUUAAGAUGGUGUAAAUAGUACAAAUUCAAGUCAGUUCUCUGCAUUUUUUUAACACUUGAAAGUGUGUGUGGUUUUAAGCUUUAUUAUUAUUUUUGGAUAAACUUUCAAGUGAUGUAUAGCUGUUCAAAUGCUAAUAAAUGACUGUUAUGACUUAAA
rnacentral:misc_RNA from 1 species